ACACUACUGUUUCAUUUGGUAACAGAGUUUCUGGUUCAUACGUAACGUCUCUCUCUUUCUCUCUCUCUUUCUCUGUCUCUUUUACUCCGCCAUUCAACAUCUCCUAACUACUUUUGCUUCAUGUCUUGGUUGUGCAGCUUCGGUUAGUUUUUACCACUUUGUUUUCUUAUAAUUUUCCAUGCAAAAUAAAUGGAGAUUUUAAACUUGUAGAUCUAUAAUUCCUUCACGAGGAAAAACAAAAAAAAAAAAAAAAAAAAAAAAGGCUUAUAAAAACCAUGUAUUUUUAAUUUCAUGGAAGGAGUUUUUCAGAUCGAUUUGAUCGAUGAAGCUCCCAAUACUAAAAACCCCUCAUAAGAAUGAAGAAAAGAUGGUGAGGAUCAUCAAUGAAGGCCAGGGAGGUACAAGUAGUAGAUAAUGUUGACAGAAGAGAGAGAGCACAACCCACCACGGGCUAAAGAGAGUCUUUGCCAUUGUUGGGAGUGUGCUCUCUCUUCUUCUGUCAUCAUCAGACCAUGCACUUCUUCUAUAUAUCUUUCUUCUUCAUCAAACACCAUUAAUUUACUCCCUAACUUUUCCUGGAAAAUAAUGUUGACAGAAGAGGGAGAGAGCACAACACAUGCACCAUGGGCUAAAGAGAGUCUUUGCCAUUGUUGGGAGUGUGCUUUCUCUUCUUCUGUCAUCAUCAGACCGUUCACUUCUAUAUAUCUUUCUUCUUCAUCAAACACCAUUAAUUUACUCCUAACUCGUCCUGGAAAAUCAUACUUUAUUUUUCUGAAAAGUUUCUUAGAAUAUAAACUUUUCUUGAUGCAUUUACAAAGAUAGCAAUUUUUUGCUUUUAUAUGUCAUAUUCAGUGGUCUUUUUUGGUAUAUAUAGUAAUUUAAGUACAGGUAUAGCUUAAUUAAUAAGGUAAUUUCAUAUUCUGGGUUUCCCUUGUCCAGCACUUAAAUAUUGGAUGUUGAUUUUUUUUUUUUUUUUGGGGGGUUAAAAUAAAAAAUUUAUUAUUUUUAUUGAAGCAUUAUAAAUUGCAUUUAUCUAGUACUAAUUCACAAUGCACAAUACCAAACCACGUUCAUGCCCUCCCCUUUUCGUUAUUUUUAAUCUAUCAAUGAUAGAAUUGAACCUUGUGCUUGCAACAAUUUUCAUUCCUUAUUUUUUAAUCUUUUGUAAACUCUGACAAUAUUGAAAUUGUAACUUUUUAUCAUAAGAUUCUGCUGAAAAACCAUGAUGCUUAUUUUCAGUUUCUGUAUAAUUGUACUUUGCUGCUUUUAGCCUCUACUACUUCUCUUACAUAUUUGACAGUUGAUUGUGAUUCUUCAAUUCACCAUUUACUUAAAAACCCAAGAAUCACAAGGUAAAGAACUGGUGCAAGUAAAUUGUUAAUGCAUAUAGAGGAAAGAUAUGAUAUUGUUAAAUGUAUAAGAUAACAUUUGUCACCUGAGUUGUUCUUGAGCAGCAGAGGUUUUCCAAAGAUUUACAGAAAGAAAAUAUGAAUUUUAGAUUUCUUUUAUCCAGAGAGGCAACAUAUAUGUAUAUUUAUGUCUGUGUGAUUGAGAUUCUGGCCAACCUCAAGCAAGAAUGUCUUCUGAUUGUAGAUAGUUCUCGGAGUUCUUAUCCAGAUUCUCUACAAUCUACUACUUGACUUCAAGAAAAUGGAUGAUUCAAUGAUCUGUGACCUAACUCACUUUCUGGUUUUUGAAGCAUUUUUCUCACAGCUUAUUUAUCACUCAUUAAUAUUGGAUGGGGACUACGUAGUUGUACUCUUUUUGUAAUCUCUAAUAAAUACAGGACGUUGAAAAGCUUAUUUAUUAACUGGAAUGACUUAGGAAAUUGUUAUCAUUUUGAUUUCA